GACGGAGGGGGCUAGCGUUGUUCGGAAUUACUGGGCGUAAAGGGCUCGUAGGUGGCCAACUAAGUCAGACGUGAAAUCCCUCAGCUUAACUGGGGAACUGCGUCUGAUACUGGAUGGCUUGAGAUUGGGAGAGGGAUGCGGAAUUCCAGGUGUAGCGGUGAAAUGCGUAGAUAUCUGGAGGAACACCGGUGGCGAAGGCGGCAUCCUGGACCAAUACUGACACUGAGGAGCGAAAGCCAGGGGAGCAAACGGG
rnacentral:rRNA from 1 species